AGUUCCCAUCAGCACCUCUUUCCCUUGGGUCUGAAGAUUGUAAAGAUAUGUGGUCCUUGAUUUUCUAGAGGUAAUAUCUCCCCAAAAGAAAACCUGAGAUCUGAUACUCUGAGCAUCAUCACAUGAAAGCCAAGGACAGACAAAAAGAUAAAACCAACAGUAUUUUCUGGAGGAAUAGCAUCCUCCUCAGGAAUGAAGGGAAAACCAAUGGCUAGAAACACCAGGUUUAAACAACUGAAAAGUUCAGAUUUCAGAGACGUCAGAAGUAACAGUACCCACCAUUCCUGUUGGACCGCUGCUACACCCAGCCUGCCAGCACACAGUGGACCUAGGAGAAUGACUGACAGCACCUACCACUCCCGAGGCACAGACAGGACCUCACAGACCCCAGGGCAGGGGUGCCAGCUACCCGUGAAGCUAUCCCCCCAAAUUCCACAAGGACAAAGGACUUCACAACACAGCUCUGAACACCUGCCUGAGAUAGUCUCAUGGAAUCUUCUCUAGCUCCUUACGUUGGGUAAUGUUAAGUUUACAAGCAGAGUAGCAUGACGAGUUUUAAGACAAAAAUCUAUCUCAGGCAAACAAAGUCCAGUGGUGGGCAAUUCAAGACUGAUAGGUGGGGAAUUCCCCAGUGGUCCAGUGGUUAGGACUCUGCACAUUCACUGCCCUGGGUCCCAGGGUUUAAUGCCUGGUCAGGGAACAAAGAUUCUGCAAUAAAUAAAUAAAUAUAGAG
rnacentral:lncRNA from 1 species